rnacentral:rRNA from 1 species
CCUACGGGCGGCAGCAGUGGGGGAUAUUGCACAAUGGAGGAAACUCUGAUGCAGCGACGCCGCGUGAGGGAAGACGGUCUUCGGAUUGUAAACCUCUGUCUUUGGGGAAGAAAAUGACGGUACCCAAAGAGGAAGCUCCGGCUAACUACGUGCCAGCAGCCGCGGUAAUACGUAGGGAGCGAGCGUUGUCCGGAAUUACUGGGUGUAAAGGGAGCGUAGGCGGGCGAGAAAGUUGAAUGUUAAAUCUACCGGCUUAACUGGUAGCUGCGUUCAAAACUUCUUGUCUUGAGUGAAGUAGAGGCAGGCGGAAUUCCUAGUGGAGCGGUGAAAUGCGUAGAUAUCACGAAGAACUCCGAUUGCGAAGGCAGCUCACUGGACUGCAACUGACACUGAUGCUCGAAAGUGUGGGUAUCAAACAGGAUUAGAUACCCUGGUAGUC